rnacentral:lncRNA from 1 species
UUUUCACUGGAUUUUUAAAAUUAUGAAUGUGUUACAGUCUUUUCAACAUUUAACAACUAAAUAACUCAUUGAGUAAAUGGCAAGUUGUACAAUGUGUCAUGAGAGACAGCAAAUACUAUCUCAAAGUAUAUUCCCAACUUAAACAUUAAAUGAAGGUAUGGAAGUCCUCUGUUGUGUACAAGGAAGUAUAUGACAUAUGGUGAAUGCUGCUGCUGAACGUAGGUUUGAAAGUCAUUAUGAGAGUCGUCAUCACCCUACUCAUCAGAUCUGGCAUCAUGUGACUUCUGGUCUUCCCUCAAGUCCAAAUGACCAUGAAAGACUGGACUUGCAUAAAUGCAAGAAUCAUACCUGUCAUCUAUCUCCGAAUGCCCUGGAAUAACUCAACACCAACUACACAGAUGCUCAGAACCAUGUGCCGAAUAAGAGGACAAAUGAAUGGAUUAUGUUAAGUGUAAUAUAGAAGAAAUAUAAUAAUGGCUUCAUUUACAGUGGCAUGGGAUGAUCAGUUUGGAAUAAAGGGCAUAUGUGUGUAACCUGGACUAUUUUGAGAAUGCUGGGAAGAAAGGAAAUGGUUCAGGAGAAAACUUGAAAGAGAUUCGCGUGUGUGUGUCUGUUCAUGCACAGGUAAGGGAUAAUUCACUGUGCUGAAAUACUUUGUAUUUGUGUGGAGGACAAAAUUAAAAGGAAUGGAAAGAAAACAAACCUUAGUAAAGAAGCUGAGCCAAAUUUUAGAAUGCAUUAUCAGACGUCACUUAGUUUGGAUGGAAUUAUAGUUAUAGGAAUAAUGAAAGAUGCAUACAAGGGAGAUGUAGACUUUAGAGUUCUAGUCCUUCUAUUUGGGGCAUUGGAGCUGUAUUGGUGUCAAAUAUAGUGGGACAUUUGAUGAAUACCAGCAAGAGAGUAAAUCUUUUGCACCAAAAGCAUUGGAUAAAAGAUGAUACAAAUCUUCUCUCACUUAACUUUUCACCAAAACAUAGGAAAUCCAAUGAUUGCCCUAACGAUACAGAUCAGAAUUUGAAGACAUAGAAACACUGACAAUU